UCCAACCGCAAGCAGAUUGUCUGGUUGAUGGAAUACAGGAAUGACUGGAAGUGAGAAAAGACCGGCUUUAGGAAGGGUCUCCUGAACUGUAAGAAGACAACCCCAAGAAACACCAAACAGCUAUUUCCUGAUCUCAACUCUAUCUAUUCAGACAGAACAAUCCCCACACUGGAACUAGCUUCUGAGCUAUGAGCCAGAAACAUGCGCGUGUGAGAGAGGGAAGGAACCACGGCAUCAGGUGGACCCAAGCCCACGUGAUGACACUCAAUCAGCUUAUCUACAAAGGAGGCACGGUCCAUGGCAUGACAAACAUGCAUCGUCUUGAAAAGCAACAAUAGGUGGCUGAAUCCCUGAAUGGCCACUGAUAACCCCGCUAUUUUCAACAACCAGAGAACAUCAAAUGUUUGGCUCUCAAAUUCUUUAAACAGUACACCCAUAUUAUUUUAAUUCUGAAUUACCAAUGAUUCUGCCUGGGGUUUUGGGAAAAAUCACUCUUAUAUACCAAUAAAACAACCUAGAGCCACGCACACGACUCUACGCAAGUCACAUUCAACCGGGGGCCCACCCUCUUCUCAACAGUGGGACAAGGACAAAGGCAGGGCCACUUCCAUGCCCACUUUAUAUAUUUCUGUGCUAUGUGUAAUAGAUGUGUCUUCUGUGAUAAAAUCACAACUGCGUUUUAUUUAGGAAAUGAUAACGCAGUGUUUACUAAAAGAGCCACAUCCUAUCCAUUGGUUGGAAAUAGGCAUUUUACAGUGAAUUUAUUUGUAAGUUUUUCAUACACAUUUACACUGCUUCUCCUUGUUAACAAAACAAAUUAAAUAUUACCAAAUAGACACCCUGUGUAAGUAGAGG
rnacentral:lncRNA from 1 species